rnacentral:rRNA from 1 species
CAAGUCGAGCGAGAAAGGGGGGGCAACUCCCUGAGUAAAGCGGCGCACGGGUGAGUAACACGUGGGUAAUCUGCCCUGGAGUGGGGAAUAACACCGGGAAACCGGUGCUAAUACCGCAUACGAUAGCGAGGUCUGCGGACUUUGUUAUGAAAGGAGCAAUUCGCUCUAGGAGGAGCCCGCGGCUGAUUCGCUAGUUGGUGAGGUAACGGCUCACCAAGGCUACGAUCAGUAUCCGGUCUGAGAGGACGGUCGGACACACUGGAACUGAGACACGGUCCAGACUCCUACGGGAGGCAGCAGUGGGGAAUUUUUGGCAAUGGGGGCAACCCUGACCAAGCAACGCCGCGUGGGUGAUGAAGUCUCUUGGGACGUAAAACCCUUUCGACGGGGAAGAAAACCGCAAGGUUUGACGGUACCCGUAGAAGAAGCCCCGGCUAACUCCGUGCCAGCAGCCGCGGUAAUACGGGGGGGGCAAGCGUUGUUCGGAAUUACUGGGCGUAAAGGGCGCGUAGGCGGUCCGCUAAGUUGGAUGUGAAAACUCUGGGCUUAACCCAGAGCCUGCAUUCAAAACUGACGGGCUAGAGUUCUGGAGGGGGUAGCGGAAUUCCUGGUGUAGCGGUGAAAUGCGUAGAUAUCAGGAGGAACACCGGUGGCGAAGGCGGCUACCUGGACAGAAACUGACGCUGAGGCGCGAAAGCUAGGGGAGCAAACAGGAUUAGAUACCCUGGUAGUCCUAGCCCUAAACGAUGGAUACUUGGUGUGACUGGGAUUGAAUCCAGUCGUGCCGAAGCUAACGCAUUAAGUAUCCCGCCUGGGGAGUACGGUCGCAAGGCUGAAACUC